CCUACGGGUGGCAGCAGCAGGGAAUCUUGCGCAAUGGGCGAAAGCCUGACGCAGCAACGCCGCGUGGGGGAUGAAGGCUCUCGGGUUGUAAACCCCUUUCAGCAGGGACGAUUGUGACGGUACCUGCAGAAGAAGCCCCGGCCAACUACGUGCCAGCAGCCGCGGUAACACGUAGGGGGCGAGCGUUGUCCGGAUUUAUUGGGCGUAAAGAGCUCGUAGGCGGCUCAGUAAGUCGGGUGUGAAAACUCAGGGCUCAACCCUGAGACGCCACUCGAUACUGCUGUGGCUAGAGUCCGGUAGGGGAGCAGGGAAUACCUGGUGUAGCGGUGAAAUGCGCAGAUAUCAGGUGGAACACCGGUGGCGAAGGCGCUGCUCUGGGCCGGAACUGACGCUGAGGAGCGAAAGCGUGGGUAGCAAACAGGAUUAGAUACCCUGGUAGU
rnacentral:rRNA from 1 species